rnacentral:rRNA from 1 species
AACGAACGCUGGCGGCAUGCCUAACACAUGCAAGUCGAACGAGACCUUCGGGUCUAGUGGCGCACGGGUGCGUAACGCGUGGGAACCUGCCCUUAGGUUCGGAAUAACUCCCCGAAAGGGGUGCUAAUACCGGAGAAUUUCUUCGGACCAAAGAUUUAUCGCCCUUGGAUGGGCCCGCGUUGGAUUAGCUAGUUGGUAGGGUAAAAGCCUACCAAGGCGACGAUCCAUAGCUGGUCUGAGAGGAUGAGCAGCCACACUGGGACUGAGACACGGCCCAGACUCCUGCGGGAGGCAGCAGUGGGGGAUAUUGGACUAUGGGCGAAAGGCUGAUCCAGCUCUGCCGCGUGAGUGAUGAAGGCCUUAGGGUUGUAAAGCUCUUUUAUCCGGGAUGAUAAUGACGGUACCGGGAGAAUAAGCACCGGCUAACUCCGUG